rnacentral:misc_RNA from 1 species
GGUGGAUUGAGGCAUCGGGGCUGACAAAGCUGGAACUGCCAGUGAAGCUGCUGCACAGCUUCCUCAUCAGCCUGAUGAGGGACCUCGGGCGGGACUGGGACAUCGACUACACGCUGGAUAUUGGCCUCACCAUCGACCUCCCGAUCAUUGGCAACUUCACCAUUCCCAUCUCCCAGUCUGGUGAGCUGAAGCUUCCCACUUUCUCCGACCUCUUCUGAGUUCGGAUGAUCAACUCAAGAGGGGUAAUAAUAAAA